rnacentral:rRNA from 2 species
UUAAGCGACUAAGCGUACACGGUGGAUGCCCUGGCAGUCAGAGGCGAUGAAGGACGUGCUAAUCUGCGAUAAGCGUCGGUAAGGUGAUAUGAACCGUUAUAACCGGCGAUUUCCGAAUGGGGAAACCCAGUGUGAUUCGUCACACUAUCAUUAACUGAAUCCAUAGGUUAAUGAGGCGAACCGGGGGAACUGAAACAUCUAAGUACCCCGAGGAAAAGAAAUCAACCGAGAUUCCCCCAGUAGCGGCGAGCGAACGGGGAGCAGCCCAGAGCCUGAAUCAGUGUGUGUGUUAGUGGAAGCGUCUGGAAAGGCGCGCGAUACAGGGUGACAGCCCCGUACACAAAAAUGCACAUGCUGUGAGCUCGAUGAGUAGGGCGGGACACGUGGUAUCCUGUCUGAAUAUGGGGGGACCAUCCUCCAAGGCUAAAUACUCCUGACUGACCGAUAGUGAACCAGUACCGUGAGGGAAAGGCGAAAAGAACCCCGGCGAGGGGAGUGAAAAAGAACCUGAAACCGUGUACGUACAAGCAGUGGGAGCACGCUUAGGCGUGUGACUGCGUACCUUUUGUAUAAUGGGUCAGCGACUUAUAUUCUGUAGCAAGGUUAACCGAAUAGGGGAGCCGAAGGGAAACCGAGUCUUAACUGGGCGUUAAGUUGCAGGGUAUAGACCCGAAACCCGGUGAUCUAGCCAUGGGCAGGUUGAAGGUUGGGUAACACUAACUGGAGGACCGAACCGACUAAUGUUGAAAAAUUAGCGGAUGACUUGUGGCUGGGGGUGAAAGGCCAAUCAAACCGGGAGAUAGCUGGUUCUCCCCGAAAGCUAUUUAGGUAGCGCCUCGUGAAUUCAUCUCCGGGGGUAGAGCACUGUUUCGGCAAGGGGGUCAUCCCGACUUACCAACCCGAUGCAAACUGCGAAUACCGGAGAAUGUUAUCACGGGAGACACACGGCGGGUGCUAACGUCCGUCGUGAAGAGGGAAACAACCCAGACCGCCAGCUAAGGUCCCAAAGUCAUGGUUAAGUGGGAAACGAUGUGGGAAGGCCCAGACAGCCAGGAUGUUGGCUUAGAAGCAGCCAUCAUUUAAAGAAAGCGUAAUAGCUCACUGGUCGAGUCGGCCUGCGCGGAAGAUGUAACGGGGCUAAACCAUGCACCGAAGCUGCGGCAGCGACGCUGAUGCGUUGUUGGGUAGGGGAGCGUUCUGUAAGCCUGCGAAGGUGUGCUGUGAGGCAUGCUGGAGGUAUCAGAAGUGCGAAUGCUGACAUAAGUAACGAUAAAGCGGGUGAAAAGCCCGCUCGCCGGAAGACCAAGGGUUCCUGUCCAACGUUAAUCGGGGCAGGGUGAGUCGACCCCUAAGGCGAGGCCGAAAGGCGUAGUCGAUGGGAAACAGGUUAAUAUUCCUGUACUUGGUGUUACUGCGAAGGGGGGACGGAGAAGGCUAUGUUGGCCGGGCGACGGUUGUCCCGGUUUAAGCGUGUAGGCUGGUUUUCCAGGCAAAUCCGGAAAAUCAAGGCUGAGGCGUGAUGACGAGGCACUACGGUGCUGAAGCAACAAAUGCCCUGCUUCCAGGAAAAGCCUCUAAGCAUCAGGUAACAUCAAAUCGUACCCCAAACCGACACAGGUGGUCAGGUAGAGAAUACCAAGGCGCUUGAGAGAACUCGGGUGAAGGAACUAGGCAAAAUGGUGCCGUAACUUCGGGAGAAGGCACGCUGAUAUGUAGGUGAAGCGACUUGCUCGUGGAGCUGAAAUCAGUCGAAGAUACCAGCUGGCUGCAACUGUUUAUUAAAAACACAGCACUGUGCAAACACGAAAGUGGACGUAUACGGUGUGACGCCUGCCCGGUGCCGGAAGGUUAAUUGAUGGGGUUAGCGCAAGCGAAGCUCUUGAUCGAAGCCCCGGUAAACGGCGGCCGUAACUAUAACGGUCCUAAGGUAGCGAAAUUCCUUGUCGGGUAAGUUCCGACCUGCACGAAUGGCGUAAUGAUGGCCAGGCUGUCUCCACCCGAGACUCAGUGAAAUUGAACUCGCUGUGAAGAUGCAGUGUACCCGCGGCAAGACGGAAAGACCCCGUGAACCUUUACUAUAGCUUGACACUGAACAUUGAGCCUUGAUGUGUAGGAUAGGUGGGAGGCUUUGAAGUGUGGACGCCAGUCUGCAUGGAGCCGACCUUGAAAUACCACCCUUUAAUGUUUGAUGUUCUAACGUUGACCCGUAAUCCGGGUUGCGGACAGUGUCUGGUGGGUAGUUUGACUGGGGCGGUCUCCUCCUAAAGAGUAACGGAGGAGCACGAAGGUUGGCUAAUCCUGGUCGGACAUCAGGAGGUUAGUGCAAUGGCAUAAGCCAGCUUGACUGCGAGCGUGACGGCGCGAGCAGGUGCGAAAGCAGGUCAUAGUGAUCCGGUGGUUCUGAAUGGAAGGGCCAUCGCUCAACGGAUAAAAGGUACUCCGGGGAUAACAGGCUGAUACCGCCCAAGAGUUCAUAUCGACGGCGGUGUUUGGCACCUCGAUGUCGGCUCAUCACAUCCUGGGGCUGAAGUAGGUCCCAAGGGUAUGGCUGUUCGCCAUUUAAAGUGGUACGCGAGCUGGGUUUAGAACGUCGUGAGACAGUUCGGUCCCUAUCUGCCGUGGGCGCUGGAGAACUGAGGGGGGCUGCUCCUAGUACGAGAGGACCGGAGUGGACGCAUCACUGGUGUUCGGGUUGUCAUGCCAAUGGCACUGCCCGGUAGCUAAAUGCGGAAGAGAUAAGUGCUGAAAGCAUCUAAGCACGAAACUUGCCCCGAGAUGAGUUCUCCCUGACUCCUUGAGAGUCCUGAAGGAACGUUGAAGACGACGACGUUGAUAGGCCGGGUGUGUAAGCGCAGCGAUGCGUUGAGCUAACCGGUACUAAUGAACCGUGAGGCUUAACCUU